UGUAACGAGUAUUUGGAUACUCGUUUAGUUGAUUUGUUUCUGCCAUCUGUUAGGGCGUUUGAGAAAGAAUUGUAUUUGUGAAUUUGUGUUAUUUUGUAAGCCAGCAGGGGCUUUAUGCUCAGCUCGGCAUAAGGAGAGUGUAGCUGGCCGAGUGCAGCACGACUCGUCCGCCUAGGGUGGCUUGGCCGCGAUGGGCCAAGACCACGAGAACGGUUUCGCAUUGAGUUGCGGAUACAAACCAUUUCAAGUUGAUUGUACAAUCUACCCAAAUUUUUGAUACCUGGCCAACUGGCUGUAGUGCGCCCAUGUGACGACUACAAAUCUGAUAUAGGAUAAUGCGGUGAUGACGGCGGAAGAUCUGAGUUUAGAGGACCUUGUACCAACGGAUUUGAAACGUUAAAGUGCAAGACUCUGAGUGAAGUCCAACGUUCAUGUCGAACGCCCUUUCUGUGUAUUGAUAAGUAUGAAUGUGCAAUAUUGUAUUGACUAACCCCUGAAAUUAUCAUUUGGCCGAAACGUCUUUAUAAUUAAAUCGACGUCUUUAAAAGAAUUUUAUAAAAAUUCCGAUGUUUGAUUGCUACGUCUUUCCACAAUUUGUGUGAUAAUGUUGAGAAUUUCCAAAUACUUAAGCCACCCUAAAGAAUCUUGUUCUCCUGUACUGGCAUCCCACCUUCUACUGUGAUAUGGCAUCCCCGACAAAAUUGUUAAAAUAUCCUGUUAGAUAUUUAACAAGGACCGAACCCAUUAACCAAGUUGUAUUUGACAUAGACCAGAACUUCAUUGUUCACAUAUUUUGAAAUGUUUGUUAGAGAUUUGAGAUUUUUUGUAAGGCAUUUGUGUGGUCGAGCAAGUGCUGCGGUGUUGAACUGCUCGUAUGAUCGUGUACGGCAUGGAUCACUGAACUCCUGGUUUUGUCAUCGCUAAGGGCGGAUUUAAGGGCAAACCAGGGUUCAUAUCUGCAUGUUGUCGGACUGCGGGAGUUAGGCCGAGCAUUGCGUCGCACACGAAAGUCCACUGAUGAAACUGAUUAUUAAAAAUUUGUACAGGAAAUAAUUUUCUUGUGAAAAUUAUUUUUUUCUGGGCCGGCGGAGUGUAACGAGUAUUUGGAUACUCGUUUAGUUGAUUUGUUUCUGCCAUCUGUUAGGGCGUUUGAGAAAGAAUUGUAUUUGUGAAUUUGUGUUAUUUUGUAAGCCAGCAGGGGCUUUAUGCUCAGCUCGGCAUAAGGAGAGUGUAGCUGGCCGAGUGCAGCACGACUCGUCCGCCUAGGGUGGCUUGGCCGCGAUGGGCCAAGACCACGAGAACGGUUUCGCAUUGAGUUGCGGAUACAAACCAUUUCAAGUUGAUUGUACAAUCUACCCAAAUUUUUGAUACCUGGCCAACUGGCUGUAGUGCGCCCAUGUGACGACUACAAAUCUGAUAUAGGAUAAUGCGGUGAUGACGGCGGAAGAUCUGAGUUUAGAGGACCUUGUACCAACGGAUUUGAAACGUUAAAGUGCAAGACUCUGAGUGAAGUCCAACGUUCAUGUCGAACGCCCUUUCUGUGUAUUGAUAAGUAUGAAUGUGCAAUAUUGUAUUGACUAACCCCUGAAAUUAUCAUUUGGCCGAAACGUCUUUAUAAUUAAAUCGACGUCUUUAAAAGAAUUUUAUAAAAAUUCCGAUGUUUGAUUGCUACGUCUUUCCACAAUUUGUGUGAUAAUGUUGAGAAUUUCCAAAUACUUAAGCCACCCUAAAGAAUCUUGUUCUCCUGUACUGGCAUCCCACCUUCU